rnacentral:lncRNA from 1 species
ACAGAUGUUUGGGAACUGGACCUUUGGGACUCUGGUGUUCACUGUGAUGGUGUUCACUGUCACACUGAAGCUCGCACUGGACACACAUUACUGGACUUGGAUAAACCACUUUGUCAUCUGGGGGUCGCUGCUGUUCUACAUCGUCUUCUCCCUGCUCUGGGGAGGGAUUAUCUGGCCGUUCCUCAGCUACCAGCGGAUGUACUAUGUGUUCAUAUACAUGCUGUCCAGCGGGCCUGCCUGGUUGGGCAUCAUAUUGCUUGUCACAGUCGGCCUCCUCCCUGAUGUCCUCAAGAAGGUCCUGUGCAGGCAGUUGUGGCCCACGGCAACGGAGAGAACUCAGCAGAGCGCCAGACUCAAAGCAUUGGCCGAUGCCACUCCGAACACCGACAGGCCCCUGCUGAAGGACUUCUUACCGCAGCCAAGACGUGUCUAGCCCCACGCUAGACUGUACAGCUCCGGGACAGCAUUUCAGAAUUCACCCCUCUGGCCUCUCUGCAGAGCCGGGGUGCUCAGGGCACCAGACUCUUGGCUGCCCAAUGCAGCUCCCCCUCUGGGAGAGUUGUAUGCUCCAGGUGGGAGAGCGAAGAGUAUCCUGUGCUCCCUACUCACCCAGGCCUUCUCCACAAGGCGAGGUAUGGGUGCUGUAGGUCCAGCCUGGAGACACCCACUUGAUGGACAGACAACCCCUCUGUCCCCACCUCUGAGAGAACUCUGUUCCUGGGCACCUGCGUGUGCCUGCGCCUGUCCCACC